rnacentral:misc_RNA from 1 species
GAUGAAGAACGUAGCGAAAUGCGAUAAGUAAUGUGAAUUGCAGAAUUCAGUGAAUCAUCGAAUCUUUGAACGCACCUUGCGCCCUUUGGCCAUUCCGAAGGGCAUGCCUGUUUGAGUAUCAUGAACACCUCAACUCUUUAUGGUUUUCCAUGAUGAGCUUGGACUCUGGGGGUUUUGCUGGCUCACAGUCGGCUCCUCUAAAAUGAAUCAGCUUACCAGUGUUUGGUGGGUAUCAUGGGUGUGAUAACUAUCUACGCUUGUGGUUUGUCCACCAGGUAACCUUCAGCAGUGGAGGUUCGCUGGAGCUCAUAGAUGUCUCUCCUCAGUGAGGACAGCCCUUUGAAUGUUUGAUCUCAAAUCUGGUAGGACUACCCGCUGAACUUAAGCAUAUCAAUAAGCGGAGGA